UACGUAGGGGGCGAGCGUUGUCCGGAUUUACUGGGCGUAAAGCGCGUGUAGGCGGCUUCAUAAGUCGGGUGUGAAAGCCCGGGGCUUAACCCCGGGACGCCGCCCGAGCACUGUGCGGCUUGAGGACGGAAGAGGGGAGUGGAAGUUCCUGGUGUAGCGGUGAAAUGCGUAGAGAUCAGGAGGGAACACCCCGUGGCGAAGGCGGCUCCCUGGUCCGUCCCUGACGCUGAGACGCGAAAGCGUGGGGAGCAAACAGG
rnacentral:rRNA from 1 species